GUCUACGGCCAUACCACCCUGAACGCCCGAUCUCAUCUGAUCUCGGAAGCUAAGCAGGGUCGGGCCUGGUUAGUUUUUGGAUGGGAAGAGUGCAUAUAAUUCAAUAGCAAUAAUCA
ensembl:rRNA 5S_rRNA 5S ribosomal RNA